rnacentral:lncRNA from 1 species
UGGGUGUCUUUCGCCUCAUUUUUUCGUAAAAUCCAAUCACAAAGUUCGUGCGAUAAAAAGUUGGAAAAUAACAUUACAAUAAUUGUCGGACCAAUGUAUGGUAUGGACAUGCAAAUACGGACUGUCAUACAGAAAACAGCCUAUAUUACAUACAUUACAUAACCUUGUUGUUCAUAUAAACCCAAUACAAAGGCUAUUUUAAUACUCAGCUAUCUAAAAAUGAAUUUUAUUGCACACUAGCUCUCAUAUUUUAAAAAUCCACAGGAGCCAAAAUGCGAAACUACACACCUAACUGUGGAGUGCUACCUUAAAUUUAUCAUUUUUGACACAUUGUAUUGUUUACAUGAAAUUGAUUCGCUAGAUAUUUUAAUUUUACUACUAGUAUUAUGAAAGUAUUUGUGUAAGAGAAGUAUUAUAAUAAUUUAGUAUGUAUUGACGAUGAGAAAUGAAGGCCGUUAUGAAACUGUCUUUCGUUUCAGAUGGAUUCCAAUUUCAGAGCGAUGAAUGGUCAGUCUUCGUAUGGAAUCCUAACCCGAAUAAUUCAUUCCGCGGCGUUAUAUUCCACUGAUCUAUGAUCAAUCUCAACCGAGAUAUUUUUUUCGGGCAGUGACUGAAUUAUUCAGGUUAAUUGAAUCAUUGACAUCAUAUCUAAGCUAUAUCUAUAACUAGGUACCAUUUUUUGGAUUAUUUCUAAAUGAAAUUAGUAUUAUCGUCUUAUGACUGAAAAUGAUUAAUUUAUAGUAAUUAAUUGUCUUGUCAAUGAAAUGCCUGGUGUCUUAGGAUAAACUCUAUACAUAAUUCCUUCAUUCUUAUCGUUGUUUUUUUCCCAUAAACUGAUAUCGUACAUAAGUGAAUAAAAGAAUCACCAAAUUCAAAAUGUUGUUGACUGUUGUAUCUAAAGUCUUAUUACGGAACAAAUUUGUCCUGACUAAAUCAUUAACAACUACUCUGCGUGCUGCAGUCACCUCAAUGUAAAAUACAACAGUCUCUCCAAUAGUCGAGUAAUAGAGUUUUUUCUGAAUAAACGAAGACAACGAACACUACAUGGCUGAGACAGCUUGACUGUGUACAGCAACAAC